rnacentral:rRNA from 1 species
GAUUAAGUUAUUAAGGGCGCACGGUGGAUGCCUUGGCACUAGAAGCCGAUGAAGGACGUUACUAACGACGAUAUGCUUUGGGGAGCUGUAAGUAAGCUUUGAUCCAGAGAUUUCCGAAUGGGGAAACCCAGCAUGAGUUAUGUCAUGUUAUCGAUAUGUGAAUACAUAGCAUAUCAGAAGGCACACCCGGAGAACUGAAACAUCUUAGUACCCGGAGGAAGAGAAAGAAAAUUCGAUUCCCUUAGUAGCGGCGAGCGAAACGGGAAGAGCCCAAACCAACAAGCUUGCUUGUUGGGGUUGUAGGACACUCUAUACGGAGUUACAAAGGACGACAUUAGACGAAUCAUCUGGAAAGAUGAAUCAAAGAAGGUAAUAAUCCUGUAGUCGAAAAUGUUGUCUCUCUUGAGUGGAUCCUGAGUACGACGGAGCACGUGAAAUUCCGUCGGAAUCUGGGAGGACCAUCUCCUAAGGCUAAAUACUCUCUAGUGACCGAUAGUGAACCAGUACCGUGAGGGAAAGGUGAAAAGCACCCCGGAAGGGGAGUGAAAUAGAACCUGAAACCGUGUGCUUACAAGUAGUCAGAGCCCGUUAAUGGGUGAUGGCGUGCCUUUUGUAGAAUGAACCGGCGAGUUACGAUUUGAUGCAAGGUUAAGCAGUAAAUGUGGAGCCGUAGCGAAAGCGAGUCUGAAUAGGGCGUUUAGUAUUUGGUCGUAGACCCGAAACCAGGUGAUCUACCCUUGGUCAGGUUGAAGUUCAGGUAACACUGAAUGGAGGACCGAACCGACUUACGUUGAAAAGUGAGCGGAUGAACUGAGGGUAGCGGAGAAAUUCCAAUCGAACCUGGAGAUAGCUGGUUCUCUCCGAAAUAGCUUUAGGGCUAGCCUCAAGUGAUGAUUAUUGGAGGUAGAGCACUGUUUGGACGAGGGGCCCC